UUUAUGGAGAGUUUGAUCCUGGCUCAGAGUGAACGCUGGCGGCGUGCCUAAUACAUGCAAGUCGAACGAUGAAGCUUCUAGCUUGCUAGAAUGCUGAUUAGUGGCGCACGGGUGAGUAACGCAUAGGUUAUGUGCCUCUUAGUUUGGGAUAGCCAUUGGAAACGAUGAUUAAUACCAGAUACUCCCUAUGGGGGAAAGAUUUAUCGCUAAGAGAUCAGCCUAUGUCCUAUCAGCUUGUUGGUAAGGUAAUGGCUUACCAAGGCUAUGACGGGUAUCCGGCCUGAGAGGGUGAACGGACACACUGGAACUGAGACACGGUCCAGACUCCUACGGGAGGCAGCAGUAGGGAAUAUUGCUCAAUGGGGGAAACCCUGAAGCAGCAACGCCGCGUGGAGGAUGAAGGUUUUAGGAUUGUAAACUCCUUUUGUUAGAGAAGAUAAUGACGGUAUCUAACGAAUAAGCACCGGCUAACUCCGUGCCAGCAGCCGCGGUAAUACGGAGGGUGCAAGCGUUACUCGGAAUCACUGGGCGUAAAGAGCGCGUAGGCGGGAUAGUCAGUCAGGUGUGAAAUCCUAUGGCUUAACCAUAGAACUGCAUUUGAAACUACUAUUCUAGAGUGUGGGAGAGGUAGGUGGAAUUCUUGGUGUAGGGGUAAAAUCCGUAGAGAUCAAGAGGAAUACUCAUUGCGAAGGCGACCUGCUGGAACAUUACUGACGCUGAUUGCGCGAAAGCGUGGGGAGCAAACAGGAUUAGAUACCCUGGUAGUCCACGCCCUAAACGAUGGAUGCUAGUUGUUGGAGGGCUUAGUCUCUCCAGUAAUGCAGCUAACGCAUUAAGCAUCCCGCCUGGGGAGUACGGUCGCAAGAUUAAAACUCAAAGGAAUAGACGGGGACCCGCACAAGCGGUGGAGCAUGUGGUUUAAUUCGAAGAUACACGAAGAACCUUACCUAGGCUUGACAUUGAGAGAAUCCGCUAGAAAUAGUGGAGUGUCUGGCUUGCCAGACCUUGAAAACAGGUGCUGCACGGCUGUCGUCAGCUCGUGUCGUGAGAUGUUGGGUUAAGUCCCGCAACGAGCGCAACCCCCUUUCUUAGUUGCUAACAGGUUAUGCUGAGAACUCUAAGGAUACUGCCUCCGUAAGGAGGAGGAAGGUGGGGACGACGUCAAGUCAUCAUGGCCCUUACGCCUAGGGCUACACACGUGCUACAAUGGGGUGCACAAAGAGAAGCAAUACUGCGAAGUGGAGCCAAUCUUCAAAACGCCUCUCAGUUCGGAUUGUAGGCUGCAACUCGCCUGCAUGAAGCUGGAAUCGCUAGUAAUCGCAAAUCAGCCAUGUUGCGGUGAAUACGUUCCCGGGUCUUGUACUCACCGCCCGUCACACCAUGGGAGUUGUGUUUGCCUUAAGUCAGGAUGCUAAAUUAGCUACUGCCCACGGCACACACAGCGACUGGGGUGAAGUCGUAACAAGGUAACCGUAGGUGAACCUGCGGUUGGAUCACCUCCUUU
rnacentral:rRNA from 1 species